AACGAACGCUGGCGGCAGGCCUAACACAUGCAAGUCGAGCGAGCAUUUCGGUGCUAGCGGCGGACGGGUGAGUAACGCGUGGGAACGUGCCCUUUUCUGCGGAAUAGUCCUGGGAAACUGGGGGUAAUACCGCAUACGCCCUUUUGGGGAAAGAUUUAUCGGAGAAGGAUCGGCCCGCGUUGGAUUAGGUAGUUGGUGGGGUAAUGGCCCACCAAGCCGACGAUCCAUAGCUGGUUUGAGAGGAUGAUCAGCCACACUGGGACUGAGACACGGCCCAGACUCCUACGGAGGGCGGCAGGGGGGAAUUUUAAAAAAGGGGGGCAACCCUGAUCACCCCCGCCCGGGGGGGUGAGAAAGGCUUUGGGUUUGAAAAGCUCUUUCAGCUGGGAAAAAAAGGACGGAACCAGCAAAAAAAGCCCCGGCUACCUCCGG
rnacentral:rRNA from 1 species